rnacentral:lncRNA from 1 species
AAGGAACGUACUUUAAAUAAAUCAAAUUUAUUCGGUUAUAACUGUCCUUUCCUGGAUUUAAAUAUUUCGGUUUUAAACGGGAAACUCCACACUAAAAUUUACGACAAAAGGGAUGAUUUUUCGUUCCCUAGUAUUAAUUUACCAUUUUUAGAUGGUGAUGUUCCUUUUGGCACCAUCUUACGGUGUUUAUAUUUCACAGCUCGUUCGCUAUGCCCGUGUCUGUUGUGCCUUUUCUUAUUUUAACGAACGCAAUGUAUAACUGGUAAAUUAUUAAACCAGGGAUAUCGUUACCAUAAAUUACUUAAAACCUUUACUAAAUUUUUCCAUAGAUAUAAAGAUUGGUUUUGAAGUUUCAAACGGGACAGCACAUCCUCAUUUUUACGGAAAUGUUGUUAACCGUGCCCGGAAAUUUAGAAAUGAUCCAUGUAAACUGAUCGCUCCAUUUAAUAAACUUAUUCUAAAAGGUCACCAAUUCAACACUGUAAUGAGAUCAUUGAAUAUUGUUUUUAUUGGUAUACAUAUUGAUUUUGUUAUAAGUAAAUAAAAAGC